CAGUAGCCACGGUAAUACAGAGGGUGCGAGCGUUAAUCGGAUUUACUGGGCGUAAAGCGUGCGUAGGCGGCUUUUUAAGUCGGAUGUGAAAUCCCUGAGCUUAACUUAGGAAUUGCAUUCGAUACUGGGAAGCUAGAGUAUGGGAGAGGAUGGUAGAAUUCCAGGUGUAGCAGUGAAAUGCGUAGAUAUGCGGAGGAACACCGAUGGCGAAGGCAGCCCCCUGGGCCAACACUGACGCUCAUGCACGAAAGCGUGGGGAGCAAACAGGAUUAGAUACCCCCGUAGUCCCUGUCUCUUAUAC
rnacentral:rRNA from 1 species